rnacentral:rRNA from 1 species
AGUGAACGCUGGCGGUAGGCCUAACACAUGCAAGUCGAACGGCAGCACCGUAAGAGCUUGCUCUUACGGGUGGCGAGUGGCGGACGGGUGAGGAAUACAUCGGAAUCUACUUUUUCGUGGGGGAUAACGUAGGGAAACUUACGCUAAUACCGCAUACGACCUACGGGUGAAAGCAGUGGAUCUUCGGACCUUGCGCGAUUGAAUGAGCCGAUGUCGGAUUAGCUAGUUGGCGGGGUAAAGGCCCACCAAGGCGACGAUCCGUAGCUGGUCUGAGAGGAUGAUCAGCCACACUGGAACUGAGACACGGUCCAGACUCCUACGGGAGGCAGCAGUGGGGAAUAUUGGACAAUGGGCGCAAGCCUGAUCCAGCCAUACCGCGUGGGUGAAGAAGGCCUUCGGGUUGUAAAGCCCUUUUGUUGGGAAAGAAAAGCAGCAGGUUAAUACCCCGCUGUUCUGACGGUACCCAAAGAAUAAGCACCGGCUAACUUCGUG